rnacentral:lncRNA from 1 species
CUUGAGCAAGGACAGGAUUGGGACAACCUUAGGCUCCUAACAGAAACCAGAGAAGGAGAGUUAGAACAUGUUCAUUAGUCCUUUAUAGUAUCUUUGCAUGUAAAUAGUUAUUAACCAAGGUGUCAAGUAUUGUAACAGAGAUGCAGGAGAUUUGUCUAGACCAUUCCUCAAGAAGCCAGGAAAAGUUAACCAAGAAUCACACUCAGUCUGCCAGUGUUCUUCCAAUGAUUUAUGUCAACAGUGCAUCCAAACUGAACUGGUUGGCUAUACCAACCUGUAAUUUCCAAUUGAAUCCUUGGCAAGUCCCCCUUGGAGGCUAUCUUGCCAAGAGGUCAAGGUCGGGGAGCAAGUCAGAGAUCAGAGUCUUUGGCUUCCAGGAGCCAGCAAAAACAUGGAAGAAGAGAGACUUUCUGUAAAGACAACCUUCCUGGAUAGGUCUUGCUUUCAGGAGUUGAUACCAGGGCCUUAGGAAUGCUCAAAGUGGUCUACUGAGGAGCUACAUCCCAGCCCCUGCUAUAAAAUUCUGAUCUGGAUAAAUUUACAUUCAGAAGAGAUCGAUGAAAACAACUGUAAAUAAUGCUGCAUUGUGUGCCUCAUCCAGAUCACUGAACAGAAAUUGGCAAUUCAGUACUCACAGUGCCUAGCCAAACUAAACACUAGUGAAUACUGUGGACUUACUAAAGAUGUUUAAGUAUGCAACACCCAUGGAGGCUCUGAACUUUUUUCGAUUAUAGCCUUUUUUCUGAUGCCCAUAAAUGACAUUUGGGUGGCUCAGGAUGUCUACCACAACAAGAUGUGGAUCACUAAAGAAAUGUAACUUUGGACCAAGAAGCCACUUGAAGUCCAGAACACAGCAAUGAUUAUUGAUGUGGGAGCAUUCAUUCAUUCCUGGAGUCUCUGGGUGACGCCAGAGGGGAAAGAGUCGCAUCCUCAAGAACAAAACCUUUUCAAAGGGACUAAAAGUUCUUGGUUCAAGUUCAACCUCAUCAACAUAGGCACAGUAUGUUCUCACAGCUAAUUUCACCUUGAAGAGUGGGAGUUUCACUGCAGACCCAACAACUGUACUGGGCUUGCCCUUCUGCUGUUUCCAACUAGAAAGCUGGGUAGGAGAGCCCAGACCCAUCAUCUGUCGGUGGAGAAAUGGAGGCAGAUCCCAAUGCCACUCAAUAUUUCUUCCUAAGGGCUCUUUGAGACCACAGCAAUCAGGUUUCCCAAGAAAAGCAGUCAUCUGCCAAGCUAAAGAGCAGAGCUGGAGUUCAGGAGGCUGUCACGUUGGCCUGGAUAGAAUGGAUCCUAGAGGGAAGCAGGCUACACAGAUGAACAGGUUGUGAUUGACUUUCCUCAAGACAGUGAGGCUCCAAGAGUCAGGCAAAGAAAAAUUUUAGGUGAAAGAACAGCUACAGAUGGAUGUAAGCAAAACAUUUCCCCAAAGCAACUAACUCAUGGAUGGGAGAUGCUGGACUUCCAACCCACUACAGAAAAGCUGUCUAGGAUCACAUACCCAGAAAAUCCAGACUUAAACUAGUAGAGCUAACUGGUCAUAGAGUUACAGUUAUUCUAGGACUCUAUAACAGAGAGAAAGAUGAAAAGUAUCUUCU